rnacentral:rRNA from 1 species
UACGAAGGGGGCUAGCGUUGCUCGGAAUCACUGGGCGUAAAGCGCACGUAGGCGGCUUUUUAAGUCAGGGGUGAAAUCCUGGAGCUCAACUCCAGAACUGCCUUUGAUACUGAGAAGCUUGAGUCCGGGAGAGGUGAGUGGAACUGCGAGUGUAGAGGUGAAAUUCGUAGAUAUUCGCAAGAACACCAGUGGCGAAGGCGGCUCACUGGCCCGGUACUGACGCUGAGGUGCGAGAGCGUGGGGAGCAAACAGG